UGCAAACAGUCAGCUGUACAGACAUCAAUCUGACCAGUAGACAUACAGUGUGACCCAAGAAAUAAUACAGGUGGCCAGCACCAUGCUGGUGACUCCAGAAUUUCUGGAGAAAACAGACUUGUUUUACUAUGUCUACAAGAUGGGAGGUCCUGUAUACACUGUCCAGUAAUGUAAUCUGCUGUGCUUGACUGAUCACAAAAUACCCACCGGGAUUUCCCUACCAGCACUCUUGAUUAUUGCCAAGGAAAGCAAAGGUUUGUAAGGAAUGUGAGUCCUGACAUUGCCACCUCAAAAAUAGCUUGGAGAUCUCAAGAUGCUCAUUUCAACAGCCGAGCAUACAUUCCCUUUGUGCUGUACCAAGUCUGCCAGAUUGAUAGGAACCAGAACCUUCCAUCUCUAGCCUGCACAGUGAUCUAAGUAACCUUUCAUGCCAGAGCAAACAUAGAGCCUCUGUGCAGUCAGCAUACAGUUCUGCCAGCAUCCCUCUCUUCAACUCCUCAAAUAGUCAUUGACUCUGUUGUGCUAAAAGCAGCUGGGAUACAGUUUCUGUAAAAUGGGCCAUCUUAAUCUUCCUGUCUGCCAUGUUGCUGUAAGUCACACUAUGCAUUUGUACUGCCAUGUGAUAGGUAUGGGUUGAGAAAUAUUAAGACAGAAGAGAUGAGAGUUUCCAGCUACAUAAUCCUGUUCAUGCCAUCUCUCCCACUAGUGACUUCAUCAGGGACAAAAGCUGUAUGAUUGAGUUGUUGUGUACCUUCUAGACAGAUGUUGAAGCCUAAAUGAAAAAUUUCAGCCUGGAGAGUCUCAUAUCAGGUUGUUACCCAGGGCAGUAAACUUUUCUGUUAAAAAAGAGUCUUUUAUUUCCCAUUGAUACUUGUCAGGUGGCAAGGAGAACCACUCUCCUGUCCCAGAAGGCCCUAGAUGCAGACACUGCUUUGGAAGUGAAGCUUGCUCUCAUGGCUACAGCAAAGGAAUGGGAAGCACGAGAUCUGGCAUGAAGUCCUCCUCCCACUGAAGCCAGUGGGAUGUUUGCCAUUGGCUUCAGGGGAAGCCAAGAUUUCGGUCUGCAGCCAGAUUGCUGGUGUGUUGUGCUAUGCUGUGUGCAGGAUGAGAAAAGGUUCUUGGUUUUCUGAUGAAGCUGUUACUGCCUCAACUCCUCUGCUGCAGAUAGUUGUCUCUCACCUGACGUUGCUCCCUGCUUGUCUCCCUGUUUUGUAAUCUUUUCCUUAGGCUAGAAGCUCUUUGAGGAAGAGACUGGCUGUGUGGUUUGUGCCUGUUUAUAUUGUCCCACAGCUGGAGCUUCUGGACAUGUCCACUGCCAAAAACAUCCCCUCCACUGUGGGUGAUGGAUGAUGCAAAAGGAUGGCAUAAUAUAGCAAUGAAGAGCUGAAAAUAGGUGGUUUGAAUUAAGUAAAACAUAUGGGAUUUUCUCCAGCACCUUAUGUUCUCUGUCUAUGUGGGAUGUGGUCCUCUUCCCUUGACACAAAGAGUAGCUGGUGUGAGCAGCUUUCUGGUAAGUUGAAAGUGUUCUGAUAGAUUUCUUUCCCUGCCAAGCAAGGAGUUUGUAAGUGCAGGUUCUUAAAGUCCAAGUUAAUAUUGAUCAUGUUGAGAUCCAUAGCUAGCACUUUCACUGUGAUUUUCCCUCAGCAACUUAAAUCUACCCCAAAGUUCAGCACUGGUACAGUAGCAUGUCCCAUUGUCACCUCUUCAGGCACAGAAAUCCU
ensembl:lncRNA